rnacentral:rRNA from 1 species
UGUACACACCGCCCGUCACACCACGAGAGUUUGUAACACCCGAAGUCGGUGAGGUAACCUUUUGGAGCCAGCCGCCUAAGGUGGGACAGAUGAUUGGGGUGAAGUCGUAACAAGGUAGCCGUAUCGGAAGGUGCGGCUGGAUCACCUCCUUU